rnacentral:tRNA from 1 species
GCUCGGGUGGUGGAAUUGGCAGACACGCAUGCUUGAGGUGCAUGUGGGGCAACCCGUGGGGGUUCGAGUCCCCCCUCGAGCACCA